rnacentral:misc_RNA from 1 species
GUGAAUCAUCAAAUUUUUGAACGCAAAUUGCACUCUCUUCGGAGAGUAUGCCUGUUUGAGGGUCAGCCUAAAAAAAAUCGACAUAGUCGCGGUUUGCCGGUGACUUUCGCGGGAAAUGGGGUAAUCUUAAACCUUUGGGUUUUAAGGGGCUUAAAAUUUUCUUUACGAUUCAACGAACUUUCCUAAGAUUUACUUUUUACACGUUUAAGGU